UGCAGUAUAGCUCAGUGGUAGAGCACUUGCCUAAUACGUGUGAAGCCCUAAAUCUGAUCCCUAGCACUGCAA
rnacentral:tRNA from 1 species